AUUGAACGCUGGCGGCAGGCCUAACACAUGCAAGUCGAGCGCGCGGCGGACGGGUGAGUAAUGUAGGGGGCUCUGCCAGGUAGAGGGGGAUAACUACUGGAAACGGGGUAUAAUACCGCAUACUAUCAUAUGAACACAUAUGGGAUUAGCUAGUAGGUGGGGUAAAGGCUCACCUAGGCGACGAUCUCUAGCUGGUCUGAGAGGAUGAUCAGCCACACUGGAACUGAGACACGGUCCAGACUCCUACGGGAGGCAGCAGUGGGGAAUAUUGCACAAUGGGCGCAAGCCUGAUGCAGCCAUGCCGCGUGUGUGAAGAAGGCCUUAGGGUUGUAAAGCACUUUCAGCGGGGAGGCGUUACCCGCAGAAGAAGCACCGGCUAACUCCGUGCCAGCAGCCGCGGUAAUAC
rnacentral:rRNA from 1 species